rnacentral:misc_RNA from 1 species
ACAAAUCUGCUAUAUGGCGAGCUUGCUCGUGCAUAUAUAUUUACCCCGAGCCUGGCAGCAAUGCCGGCUUUGGUUGGGUGGGGCGCAAGCCCUGCUCCGGUUGUGCGGCGUUAACGCGUUGCCAACCACAUAGACGCUUGUAUGUUUGACAGAGUUACAGUUGUAAAACUAAAAUGA